rnacentral:lncRNA from 1 species
GUAUAAAAUAUCACAAUAAUUUUACUCGUGAUCCACAUAAACUGUAAUUUUAGGAUAGUAGUACACUCAAACAAUCAACUCUCAUAAUACUCUAAAAAAAAAAAUUCAACUCUCAUAAUAUUUUACAUAUGAUUAUUCAUAUUUCAUUAAUAAUUUAAGAAAACAGUAUUACAGCUUAUAUCCAUAUAUAGAACAGGGCAUGCCAUGCAUGCAAUACACUCACACUAUAGUUGGACGUUUGUUUUGUCCUAUAACCAUGCGAACUAAUGUCCGCCACCAAAACCUCCACCGCCACCGGAACCACCACCAAACCCUCCUCCGGAGCCUCCACCUAGACCACCCCCACCUCCAGACCCACCGCCAAACCCUCCUCCUGAGCCUCCACCUAGACCACCCCCACCUCCAGACCCACCUCCAAACCCUCCCCCACCUCCAGACCCACCUCCAAAACCUCCCCCACCUCCAGACCACCCCCAAAUCCUCCGCCUGCACCACCUCCGGAACCUCCACCAAACCCUCCUCCCUUGCCACCUCCAAAUCCACCUCCUUGGCCGCCACCGGAACCUCCCCCGAAUCCACCACCGGAACCACCUCCUAGGCCUCCACCAGAACCACCACCAAAUCCACCGCCAGACCCUCCGCCGCCGCCAAGCCCACCACCGCCAAAUUGGUCUUUCUCAAGCUGCCGGCCAUCGGCAAUCUGCACAACAAACAACCCCAACAACAAGAUCACAGCAAAUACCCCACCAUUUCUGAAAUUAUUCCCCAUUGUAAUUUUCUGAAUUAUAAAAUUUAAGAUGAGAUAUUAGUGUUGUGUUAUUCUCCGAUAAAAGCUUCGAUUCUAUUUAUAGAAAUAGAG